GUCCACAUAGCUUACCAUCAAA
rnacentral:tRNA from 2 species